CGGCGGACGGGGGAGUAAUGUAUGGGGAUCUGCCUGAUGGCGGGGGGUAACUACUGGAAACGGUAGCUAAUACCGCAUAAUGUCUACGGACCAAAGCGGGGGACCUCCGGGCCUCGCGCCAUCAGAUGAACCCAUACGGGAUUAGCUUGUAGGUAAGGUAACGGCUUACCUAGGCGACGAUCCCUAGCUGGUCUGAGAGGAUGAUCAGCCACACUGGGACUGAGACACGGCCCAG
rnacentral:rRNA from 1 species